CUAUGUUGACUUGAAGCGAAAUGUAAUCGAUAUGCAAAAAUCGAUUGAAAAGCUUUUCAUUUGACGUUAUUUUUUAAUUUUAGAUGGAGGAGGUGUGAACUGCAAACAAACUUCAAACGGUGGUGUUGAAACAUAGGUGUGAAUCAUGUUUUAGUGGGCAUCUCUACAACGUCAAAAAGGCUUGUGAUCUCAGUCAACCAAAAUUGUUAUCAAAGAGACGAGGGCCAUUUCGAUAGUGGGAGCUAGCACAUAAUAGUGGCUCAACCAGUAACCAAUGGAGAAAACUAAAAAAUUCAUGAACGUGAACUAAAGCUUCUAGAUUUGUUCCAGAAGCAAGACAAACGCAAUUUUCAGGCAUGGAGUUGCAGGAGAUUCAUAGCAGGAUUGAAGAACAUAUCAGAUAAAAAAGGUCGCAAUAUGGACAGAAGCAUGGAGUGGAUGGUAAAUUGUUAUUUAUUCUCCGAUUAAAUACAAGAAGUAGCAAUGUACCUUCAUUGAUUUGUUUUUCAGCUAUAUUAAUGCAAUUAAGAAAUAGCAAUAUAACUUGAUUUUCUGUAACAUAGUUCAACAUAUUUGAUUA